GGGGAAUAUUGCGCAAUGGGCGAAAGCCUGACGCAGCAACGCCGCGUGAGUGACGAAGGCCUUCGGGUCGUAAAACUCUGUCUUUUGGGACGAACGGUAUCCCUGUGAAUAAUGGGGGUACAUGACGGUACUUAAGGAGGAAGCCCCGGCUAACUACGUGCCAGCAGCCGCGGUAAUACGUAGGGGGCAAGCGUUGUCCGGAAUUACUGGGCGUAAAGAGCGUGUAGGCGGGUGAUUAAGUCAGAUGUGAAAACCCAGGGCUCAACUCUGGGAGUGCAUCUGAAACUGGUUACCUUGAGGACAGGAGAGGAAAGUGGAAUUCCUAGUGUAGCGGUGAAAUGCGUAGAUAUUAGGAGGAACACCAGUGGCGAAGGCGGCUUUCUGGCCUGUAACUGACGCUGAGACGCGAAAGCGUGGGGAGCAAACAG
rnacentral:rRNA from 1 species